CCUACGGGAGGCUGCAGUGGGGAAUAUUGGACAAUGGGCGAAAGCCUGAUCCAGCCAUGCCGCGUGUGUGAAGAAGGCCUUCGGGUUGUAAAGCACUUUCAGUGGGGAAGAAAGCCUUGGGGCUAAUACCCUCGAGGAAGGACAUCACCAACAGAAGAAGCACCGGCUAACUCCGUGCCAGCAGCCGCGGUAAUACGGAGGGUGCGAGCGUUAAUCGGAAUUACUGGGCGUAAAGCGCGCGUAGGCGGUCUGAUAAGCCGGUUGUGAAAGCCCCGGGCUCAACCUGGGAACGGCAUCCGGAACUGUCAGGCUAGAGUGCAGGAGAGGAAGGUAGAAUUCCCGGUGUAGCGGUGAAAUGCGUAGAGAUCGGGAGGAAUACCAGUGGCGAAGGCGGCCUUCUGGACUGACACUGACGCUGAGGUGCGAAAGCGUGGGUAGCAAACAGGAUUAGAUACCCCUGUAGUC
rnacentral:rRNA from 1 species